rnacentral:rRNA from 1 species
AUCGGUGAGGGAGUUGGCCCGCGUUUGGGAUUUAGGUAGUUGGUGGGGUAAUAGGCCUACCAAGCCGACGAUCCAUAGCUGGUUUGAGAGGAUGAUCAGCCACACUGGGACUGAGACACGGCCCAG